AGGAGUGGAGCCUGCGGCUUAAUUUGACUCAACACGGGAAACCUCACCAGGCCCGGACACCGGAAGGAUUGACAGAUUGAGAGCUCUUUCUUGAUUCGGUGGGUGGUGGUGCAUGGCCGUUCUUAGUUGGUGGAGCGAUUUGUCUGGUUAAUUCCGAUAACGAACGAGACUCUAGCCUGUUAACUAGGCGUAUUUCCGACAUCUCAAAGGCCCGCCGGCCCGGCGCGCGUCGCGGUCGCGCGCGGUUUUUACUGUCGGCGUACAAAUUAUUCUUCUUAGAGGGACAGGCGGCUUCUAGCCGCACGAGAUUGAGCAAUAACAGGUCUGUGAUGCCCUUAGAUGUUCUGGGCCG
rnacentral:rRNA from 1 species